rnacentral:lncRNA from 1 species
ACUGAGCUCUUUCAUCCAGACAAGGGUGAGCUAAUGGGAAUAAAAAAGACGGAGGUGUGCAGCAGCGUCUUUGAUGUAUUGAAGUUAGAGCAUUCCCACAAAUCCCAUGCAUUAUUGCUCAUUGAUGGCGGAUCCUUUUUCAUAUGCAUGAGGCAGGAGUGCCAAAUUAUCGUCCUAAUUGGCUCUGACUUGGUAUUCCUUAAUGUUCGUGUUACACUUGUUACAACUUUUUUCCUUUCCUCUAAAUACUACUGACAGUAACAGCUUUGGAGAGGCAGGCUGUCACGUGGCCCCAUGGCGUCACCCUACACUGCAGGCUUAAGUGUGGCUCUGGUCCUGUGCUCUGGUUUCUUGGGAUAGAAUUACAGCUGAGACUGUGCAGUGCGGACCUGCCUGGUUUACUUCAGGGGCAUUGUUGAUUGACACAGAUUCUUGUUCCCUUGUCCUCAGUGGCACCUUUUCUUCCAAGAGGAACAGAGAUAGAGUCUUACAACAGCCAUUAAAUAGAAGAUCCUGGGGUCUACUGGAGCACUGUCCCAUUGGUGGGGAGAAAUAACAAUCAUCAUCAUCAUGUCUCCCUUCCUUUGGAAUUGAUUAGGUAGCUCCUAUAUUCCACAUUCCUCUCACCUGUUGACCACACACAAUUUUUGGUCUUGUAGCUUGGCCACUCAUUUUAGCUCAAUCACUGGUUUAAUUUUUUUAAUGAAAUCACUCAAUCGAUAGAGGCUAACCUCUCGUAGAUGUAAUAAUUCCAACCAUUCUCAAAGAAAUAAUGAAGGGUGGAAUAUUAUGCUUUCUAAAAUAAUGGAAUUUAUUUUUUCUUUAUGCCCACAGCUGUUUAGUCCUAAAGAGGGGGAAGAAAGAAUCUUUCGAUCUUUUGGCAUGUUCCAUGUCCCGUAUUGAUGGUCAUACUUCAGCUUUUUUCUGGUUGUUUAAGAAUUAUGUGGCCAAUAGGCUGCCUUGUAUAUAACAGUGAAAAACACCCAUUACUUGUAUUUGUUUCAUUUUAAGGUUUAGGCAGUUGGAGCAUAGGACAGUAACUGGUUUCCCUUGUUUUCUGGAACCUGCCCCUUGCUCUCUCUUGGGUGAUGCCUCACCCCUGCCCCAGUGUCAGAGCUGCCCUGGGUCCUUCUUCCCUUGAAGGGUCUGAUGAAUGAACCACACAGCUUGUUAGUAUCUCAGUUUGUUAAUCCUCCCGGAGGAAUGUUGGAAAUCUUUAAGGACAAGGACAACCUCUUGUUCCUUUUUACAUUUCCCAUGGUGCUUUGCUCGCAGUGGCCACUACAGACAUGAUUCAUUCAUUGUUUUAAAAAAAGUGUUAACUAGUUAAGUGAAAAUAAAAUGAAACAGCAAAAUGAGACAAACGCCUAGAUCUGAAAGGCUACAAAAUACAGCAGAGGGUUCAGUGGACAUAAGAGGAAAGGAACACAAUGAUAUCCCCAAUCUUGUGAUGGAAUAGAAAAAAAAAAAGUGAUUGGUGUUGAUGUAACACUUUUCUUGGCCAGUUGAACAUUCCAGAGUAGAGGUCAGUUUUGUAGUUAAAUCUGGUAGGAAGAUGUUUCCAACCAGAAGGAAUCAUACUAAAAUUAUUUUAUCACAACAAGCAGUCCAUAACCGAAACUUUAAUUUGUGAGUUGGGAAUCAGGAUAGGAAACCCAAUUUUAUAUUCUUUUUAUAGGAAGAAGAAUCCAUUCCACCACUCAGACUGCUUUCCUCUUUCAUAAUCGUGGCAUACUCUGCCAUUGUUUGUUUAUUUUCCCCACAACUAGAUGGAGAGUGCAAGGACCAUAUUUUACUCAUGUGUAUCCUCAGGGCCUAGCACAAAGUAGG